AUAACGAGCGCAAUCCUACCCUUUAGUUGCCAUCAGGUAAGUGCUGGGGACGUCUAAAGGAACUGCCUACGCAAGUAGUGAGGAAGGCGGGGAGUGACGUCAAAUCAGCACGGCCCUUACGUCCAGGGCUACACACGUGCUACAAUGGCCGAUACAGAGGGCAGCUACCUGGUGACAGGAUGCAAAUCUCCAAAGUCGGUCUCAGUUCGGAUCGGAGUCUGCAACCCGACUCCGUGAAGUUGGAUUCGCUAGUAAUCGCGCAUCAGCCAUGGCGCGGUGAAUACGUUCCCGGGCCUU
rnacentral:rRNA from 1 species